AGCUCAGUGUUUACAGAAAUUGCCUUCUUCAAACAAUAAGUUUACUUAUAAUUGUGAUCAUCAUACUUUUAACUUCCUUGUUGAAGAUGGUUAUGGUAAGUUAUCCUUUUAUCUUUCAGUUUUAGCCUCUCCUUUUUGUAUUGUUUUUAGUAUCUUUUACACUUUUUUUUAGUUGUAUUUGUUAUGGGUAUUGCUGGAUCUUGAGUGGUAGAGUGUAAAAAUGGAGUCUUUAUUGGAUUUUGUCGGUAGAGUUUUAGGAUUUUUAAAAAAAAAUUACAGUGUUGCUGGGAAUAAAGGGUAUCAUGGGUCUUGUGAAGAACUGGAGCCUUUAUUGGAUUCAGUUAUCCUUUUAACUUUCAGUUUUAGCUGUAGAAUUGUUUUUACUCUUUAUUUGUUUCAUUUUAGUUGGAUUUGAAAUGGGUAUUGCUGGAUCUCGAGUAGUAGAGUGUAAAUAUGGAGUCUUUAUGGAUUUUAUAAGUAGAGUUUUAGGAAAUUUAUUAAAUAAUUACAGUGUUGCUGUUGAAAUAUUGCUGGGAAGAAAGGGUAUUAUGGGUUUUGUGAAAAGCUGAGCCUUUAUUGGAAUCAGAGAUUGGAGUGCAUGUUUUCUUUUUCUUUAUGUUGAAAGAUUGCUUGGAAGAAAGGGUGAGUAUCGUGCUUCAGUUAAUUGGAUCUUUGGUGUUUGAGGGGCAAAAUUGAAAAUUCAGAAGAAGCUCCACAAUGACAAGUUUAGCAAGUUUUUGAAAUUCUUAAUAUUUUGUAGUCACAAGCACAUAUAAGUAAAGGGUUAAUGUAAAAAUAGGCAAAUGAUGAGAGAGGAAUGAAUGCAAAGGAUAUAGCUGACUCCGAUUAGUCUUGGGUUGAGGUUUUAAUUGCUACAUAUUUCUCUGCCAUACUUCCUAAGACAUUUACCUUCGUCGCCUUUGUUUCUAAGUCUGAAUGUUCUGUCACUUCUCUGCAUUUUAUUUUGUUACGAGAGAUGUCUAUGUAAAUAUAAAGCUGAGAAGUCGGUUUAAUACUUGAAACUUGGAAGUUAGUAUCAUGAGGUGAAAGCAGUAGAUAUAGGAUGUGAAAUGUCUAUGUGGAAUCAGUGAGAUUCGUGUAUCAACAGAUGGAAUGUUUGGGAAUUAACUGAUGGGAAGUGGGAGAACAACUUUGGCGGAUGUUGUGGCCUUCUGUUUGUCGAAUAGUCAAACAGAUUCUAAUGAAAUACUAUAAAAGAGGAGUUGUUUCCAGACUCAACGAUGGCACGUACUCCAUCCUAACGAAGUAUAAUUUGUUAUAUUUCAUUUACAAAUAACCAAUGAUGGAAUGCAGAAUUGUGAACCCUUUCUAUAGCUGUCACACGAUUAAGGUAGAACUUGGCUUUCUGAUCUCAAUGGAAGUUCUACACACAGCACUACGGGUCAAGAUUUUGUAAGCUGUAGGUUGAAGACGUUGAGUCUAAUGGACAGUCAAAUAGAGGGAAAUAAAUUGUCUUUGGAGGAUAAAUUCUUCUUACCUUGGGUCAUAUAGUAGAUUAGAUUGAGUGGAUGACUGGCGGUCUCUUACUAGUUCAUGGCUCCAGCCUCUGUACAUACCUCUGGUUUGGACUGCAGCCCCUGGGUGCUUUUCUAUCUGAAAAAGAAAAAGGUUGAAGAAGCCAAGUCAUAUUUUUUUUCUUUUUUUUUUUCUGGUAAAAAGGUUUCUCGACGAAUGAUUUCACAGAGACUUUCCACUUAAAUUGUAAAGUGAUAUCAUUAGAUAUUAUGUUUGAGCUUGCAUAGAAAAUGACGUUAAUCACUUUUUGGCUAUUUUCAUCGACCUCCUUUCACUUAAGUUCCUCCAACUGUCUUAUACUAUAGGUUGAUGCGACAGCUGAACCUUAUGCAAGUCUGAUUUAAUGCCUGUU
rnacentral:lncRNA from 1 species